GACGCCAGAGAGGGUGAGAGCCCCGUACGGCGGGACGCCGCGCNUCUGUGAAGCUCNUUCGGCGAGUCGAGUAGUUUGGGAAUGCUGCUCUAAAUGGGAGGUAAAUUUCUCCUAAAGCUAAAUACCGGCCGGAGACCGAUAGCGCACAAGUAGAGUGAUCGAAAGAUGAAAAGCACUUUGAAAAGAGGGUCAAACAGUACGUGAAAUUGUUGAAAGGGAAGCGCCCGUGGCCAGACUCGCGCCUCGCAGACCACCCGGCGGACACCGCCGGGGCACGCUGUGGGGUGCGGGCCAGCAUCGGCCUCCGCGGGGGGACAAGGACGGUGGGAACGUGGCUCCUACGGGAGUGUUACAGCCCGCCGCGCCAUGCCCUCGAGGGGGCCGAGGACCGCGCUUCGGCAAGGAUGCUGGCGUAAUGGCCACCGGCGACCCGUCUUGAAACACGGACCAAGGAGUCAAGCAUUGGGGCGAGUGUCCGGGUGGCAAACCCGCACGCGCAAUGAAAGUGAACGUAGGUGGGAGCUUCGGCGCACCACCGACCGAUCCUGAUGUCCUCGGAUGGAUUUGAGUAAGAGCCUCACCGCUUGGACCCGAAAGAUGGUGAACUAUGCCUGAAUAGGGUGAAGCCAGAGGAAACUCUGGUGGAGGCUCGCAGCGGUUCUGACGUGCAAAUCGAUCGUC
rnacentral:rRNA from 1 species